UGUAGCUCGUAGAGCUUCCAACAAGAUUGUGGUGGGAUUACAGAUUGUGCUGGGAUUACGGCAAUCUGUUGUUACUUAUGAGUAUGAUGUUGCACAUAAUUCCUGGUUAGAUUUCAAGUUAAAUCCUUCUCUGUUCACGUUAAGCCAACCAGUAGUAGCUGGCAAUACGCUGUACUGGGUCGAUCAUGAGCUAAAUGCAUACAAUCUUGACAACAAAAUGCUCUACUCAGGACCCAUAGAAGAUCUGCAGAUUGAGCACCAUCUCAGGUGUGGUGAUUAUCUUUUUACAUCAUCCUUGCUUCAUCUAGCUGAAGAUCGUUUCUGUUUGCUUUGGGUUGACCCUGAUGGCUCACUAUCCCGCCUUCAUUGCACCAUACUGCAAGUCUCUAAAGGCACCGAUAUAAACGGCAAAGGUUGUCUCAGUGCUUCUGUUUUGUCCUGCCACUCUUUUAUUCUUGAAUUUCCAUUGGACUUUCUUGACGGCCUGCUGAUGUAAUGCUGUAAGUAUAUCACUCGUUUCUUGGCCUAUGGAUUAUUUCAUGGAAUAUAGCUUACGUUAUCAUGUAACUUUGAUGAUUUCUAAAUCUGAUGCUUAGAUUAUGUAAAAUCUCUCACAUAUCCUCUAAUUAUAAGCCUUGUUUUCUCUGACUGGAUCAAACAACAGUCAUGUAGAAUACUUGCAACUGCACACACAUAACAUACACCAUUUGUACAUGUAUUUGUAUGUAUGCGUAUGCACAUUUUAGGAAUCUCAUGCUUAGAUUAUGUGAUCUUUGGUCAUUUAAGCAUAUUGAAAUUGUUAUCUUUUCUCAAAAUGUAGCAAGAUUUGUCUUAAGAGGUUAAAAUAUUGUUAGUGAUGCCUAACGAACUGUUUGUGAACUACACCUAAAUCCUAAACCCUAAGCCCUCCUGUCCUGUGCUAGCAAAGUGCCUACUAUUUUUUGGAUCACGUUGUUCCAGCCACCCCAAACAUACUCACAUUAUACUUCGUUGGGGAACAGUGGUACUUGCUUGGCAUGGUGCUUAACAGAGGAAGAGCUUUCUUUUAGUCUCUCCAACAAAAGUUUUUGACCUCUCUUCAAAUUCUCCUUAAGUGUUCACUAUCUACAUUCUGGUGACUCCAUAAUCAGAAAGAAAGUUAUCAAGAAAGUUGUACUAAUAAUUUUUUCUUUUUUUGCUUGCCUAUAAUUGGUUUGACAUUCAUGAUCACAGUGACGAAGAGAGAUUAUUAUUACUUAUUUAUUUGUUUGUUUUUUUGCCGCUCAGAAAAUCUGUCACAUGUGAAGAUAAGACUUCACAACCAGUAACACUGUUUGUUCAGAAGCUAAGCUUGCUAACUCCACCACAGCGUUUGUAUGUAUUAUUGUUGUCAUUUAUUUGUCAUGUAUUUUAGUUGAUCUUAAUAUGGUAAUUUUAUUUUUCUUCAGGGUGCAGUUCUUUGGAGAUGCUUGAAGAGUGGUUGAUUACCAUUUCAUCUAUGAUGGAAAAACUGGUAGAUUUCUUCGCCAGCGCUAUGUUCAGUUUGAGACUAGGGAAAUAGGAGUGCAGGAAAGAAAGGUAAAAUUGGUACAAUAAAGAAGAUGAAAACCAACUGCUGACUUUGUACCGGAUCAGGAAAAGAAGACAGAAUUCAACUAGUUUGCCCAACUGCUGACUUUUGUUUGAUACUGAGAUUUUUGUCAACGAUUCUCUAGUUUUCAGAACUCCAAUGUUGGGUUGAAGUGUAGCUUGACUAUGUGUAUAUAUUUUUUUUGUUGAAGUAUCCUGAGCUUUGCUGGCUAAAAAUACAAUGUUGUGCGUAGUAGGACUUGAGAUUUAUCCUUUCUUGGUAUUCAUAUGAAGUUUUGUUCUAA